CAAUUGCAACAAUUACCCUUUUUCUUCACGUGAGGUACCAUUUUCUCAUUUUUGUGGCUGAGACUGGAAGGCAAACUGGGACUUUAAUAUUUCUGACAACAAUGCUUUACUUUACUAUUUGUUUAUGUGAGCAGACUCCCACGUGAGGGGUUCAGUUUAUUCACCCCUUGCGAGAUGGUUUCGCAAUACACAGUGUUCUUCUACAACACAGACUCCCUUGCGAGAUGGUUUCAAAAGAAUCCUCUUUUUCCUUGGCUCUAACACACAGUGUUCUUCUACCAGAAGCAAAAGGCAGUUUUGCAAUUCUUGGGGUUGCGUUGAUUUCGCAACGUUUCUUUUUUCUUUUGAAAUUCCUUUUGGUUUUUUUUUUUAUAAGACCGUUGAAAUUCAAAUGAAAAAUGGGUCACGAGAGCCUUUUCUUCUGCUGCCUUAUUUUUUGUGUGCUUCCUUUGUGGAUUGGAGACUCAAAACGAAGAGGGGGAGAAAUCAAGCAGGUUACCCAUUUUUGUUUUCUUUAUGUUCCGGUUUUGUUUAUGUUUUAGAAUUUAUCAAUUCUUUCAUGCAGGCAUCCAGGGCAACUUGGUUGUUGUGUCCUUCAGUACCUUGUUGAAGACAAUUGUUGAUUCAUGGCUCCAAAUGCAUGGAUGAAAAUAAAGGUAGGAGGAUAUAUCAUAUAUGUUUGUGAUGGUGAGUUGGAUCAAAGAGAUAAUUAUUCUCUUCAAAGCUCCAACUGCCCCAAGAUUUCCAAGCCCUCGGCAUUUUAAACUUCAACGAUUCAUGGUUGUUCCGUCCGAUAUGUCAUAGGAAAUAUACUAGUACAAGUCCAUGAGGAGACAAAGGAACGAGCCAUAGAAUCCUCUUCUGCAUGUCAUUUGAUUUGUUUGACCUCAACACUAUGGCAUCUCCCCUAGAUGCAUCUCAGCACUAUGGCAUCUCCCAUUGUUGUUGUUGUAGAUUUGUUUGCAUUUUGGUGUUUGUUUGGGUUUAUUAAUAAAUUUUAGUUGUAUUGUUAAAUUCAUCUUGUACCUGUUGGUAAUUAUGUACUAGGGUAAAAAAGAUAAUUAAUUUUUAAAGUUUAAAUUGAAUAUAAAAAAAGGUUAUAUAUAUAAUUUCCCGUAAGAAAU